rnacentral:rRNA from 1 species
CCUACGGGUGGCAGCAGUGGGGAAUAUUGCAUCAUGGGGGAAACCCUGAUGCAGCGACGCCGCGUGAAGGAAGAAGUAUUUCGGUAUGUAAACUUCUAUCAGCAGGGAAGAAAGUGACGGUACCUGACUAAGAAGCUCCGGCUAACUACGUGCCAGCAGCCGCGGUAAUACGUAGGGGGCCAGCGUUAUCCGGAUUUACUGGGUGGAAAGGGAGAGUAGGCGGCGAUGCAAGUCCGAAGUGAAAGCCCGGGGCUCAACGCCGGGACUGCUUUUGAAACUGGAUGGCGAGAUUGCAGGAGAGGCAAGUGGAAUUCCUAGUGUAGCGGUGAAAUGAGUAGAUAUUAGGAGGAACACCAGUGGCGAAGGCGGCUUGCUGGACUGUAAAUGACGCUGAGGCUCGAAAGCGUGGGGAGCAAACAGGAUUAGAUACCCGAGUAGUC